rnacentral:rRNA from 1 species
ACGAACGCUGGCGGCGUGCUUAACACCUGCCAGUCGAACGGAAAGGCCCUGCUUUUGUGGGGUGCUCGAGUGGCGAACGGGUGAGUAACACGUGAGUAACCUGCCCUUGACUUUGGGAUAACUUCAGGAAACUGGGGCUAAUACCGGAUAGGAGCUCCUGCUGCAUGGUGGGGGUUGGAAAGUUUCGGCGGUUGGGGAUGGACUCGCGGCUUAUCAGCUUGUUGGUGGGGUAGUGGCUUACCAAGGCUUUGACGGGUAGCCGGCCUGAGAGGGUGACCGGCCACAUUGGGACUGAGAUACGGACCAGACUCCUACGGGAGGCAGCAGUGGGGAAUAUUGCACAAUGGGCGGAAGCCUGAUGCAGCAACGCCGCGUGCGGGAUGACGGCCUUCGGGUUGUAAACCGCUUUCGCCUGUGACGAAGCGUGAGUGACGGUAAUGGGUAAAGAAGCACCGGCUAACUACGUG